rnacentral:rRNA from 1 species
UGGGGAAUCUUGCACAAUGGGGGAAACCCUGAUGCAGCGACGCCGCGUGAGCGAUGAAGGUUUUCGAAUCGUAAAGCUCUGUCCUAUGGGAAGAUAAUGACGGUACCAUAGGAGGAAGCCCCGGCUAACUACGUGCCAGCAGCCGCGGUAAUACGUAGGGGGCGAGCGUUGUCCGGAAUUACUGGGCGUAAAGGGUUCGCAGGCGGCAUGACAAGUCCGAUGUAAAAGGCGAAGGCUCAACUUUCGUAAGCAUCGGAAACUGUCAAGCUUGAGUGAAGGAGAGGCAAGUGGAAUUACUAGUGUAGCGGUGGAAUGCGUAGAUAUUAGGAGGAAUACCGGUGGCGAAGGCGACUUGCUGGACUUCAACUGACGCUGAGGAACGAAAGCGUGGGUAGCAAACAGG